AUUGAACGCUGGCGGCAGGCCUAACACAUGCAAGUCGAACGGUAACAGGGAUCAGCUUGCUGAUUCGCUGACGAGUGGCGGACGGGUGAGUAAUGUCUGGGAAACUGCCUGAUGGAGGGGGAUAACUACUGGAAACGGUAGCUAAUACCGCAUAACGUCGCAAGACCAAAGAGGGGGACCUUCGGGCCUCUUGCCAUCGGAUGUGCCCAGAUGGGAUUAGCUAGUAGGUGGGGUAACGGCUCACCUAGGCGACGAUCCCUAGCUGGUCUGAGAGGAUGACCAGCCACACUGGAACUGAGACACGGUCCAGACUCCUACGGGAGGCAGCAGUGGGGAAUAUUGCACAAUGGGCGCAAGCCUGAUGCAGCCAUGCCGCGUGUAUGAAGAAGGCCUUCGGGUUGUAAAGUACUUUCAGCGGGGAGGAAGGGAGUAAAGUUAAUACCUUUGCUCAUUGACGUUACCCGCAGAGGAAGCACCGGCUAACUCCGUG
rnacentral:rRNA from 1 species